ACACACAGGUGCUGCAUGGCUGUCGUCAGCUCGUGUCGUGAGAUGUUGGGUUAAGUCCCGCAACGAGCGCAACCCUCGCCUUUAGUUACCAUCAUUUAGUUGGGUACUCUAAAGGAACCGCCGGUGAUAAGCCGGAGGAAGGUGGGGAUGACGUCAAGUCCUCAUGGCCCUUACGCGCUGGGCUACACACGUGCUACAAUGGCAACUACAGUGGGCAGCAAUCCCGCGAGGGUGAGCUAAUCUCCAAAAGUUGUCUCAGUUCGGAUUGUACUCUGCAACUCGAGUGCAUGAAGGCGGAAUCGCUAGUAAUCGCGGAUCAGCAUGCCGCGGUGAAUACGUUCCCAGGCCUUGUACACACCGCCCGUCACACCAUGGGAGUUGGAUUCACCCGAAGGCGUUGCGCUAACUCGCAAGAGAG
rnacentral:rRNA from 1 species